rnacentral:rRNA from 1 species
UACAGAGGGGGCAAGCGUUGUUCGGAAUUACUGGGCGUAAAGGGCGCGUAGGCGGCCUGCUAAGUCGAACGUGAAAUCCCUGGGCUCAACCCAGGAACUGCGUCCGAUACUGGUUGGCUUGAAUCCGGGAGAGGGAUGUGGAAUUCCAGGUGUAGAGGUGAAAUUCGUAGAUAUUCGGAAGAACACCAGUGGCGAAGGCGGCUCACUGGCCCGAUACUGACGCUGAGGCGCGAAAGCGUGGGGAGCAAACAGG